rnacentral:rRNA from 1 species
AGAGGGUGAGAAUCCCGUCUUCGGCCGGCCGGCUUCGCCCAUGUGAAGCUCCUUCGACGAGUCGAGUUGUUUGGGAAUGCAGCUCUAAAUGGGUGGUAAAUUUCAUCUAAAGCUAAAUACUGGUCGGAGACCGAUAGCGCACAAGUAGAGUGAUCGAAAGAUGAAAAGCACUUUGAAAAGAGAGUUAAACAGCAUGUGAAAUUGUUGAAAGGGAAGCGCUUGCGACCAGAGUCGGCCGCGGGGGUUCAGCGGGCAUUCGUUGCCCGUGCACUCCCCCGUGGCCGGGCCAGCGUCGGUUUCGACGGCCGGUCAAAGGCCCCCGGAAUGUGUCACCCUUCGGGGUGUCUUAUAGCCGGGGGUGCAAUGCGGCCAGUCGGGAAA